rnacentral:rRNA from 1 species
GAUGAACGCUGGCGGCGUGCCUAAUACAUGCAAGUCGAGCGAACGGACGAGAAGCUUGCUUCUCUGAUGUUAGCGGCGGACGGGUGAGUAACACGUGGAUAACCUACCUAUAAGACUGGGAUAACUUCGGGAAACCGGAGCUAAUACCGGAUAAUAUUUUGAACCGCAUGGUUCAAAAGUGAAAGACGGUCUUGCUGUCACUUAUAGAUGGAUCCGCGCUGCAUUAGCUAGUUGGUAAGGUAACGGCUUACCAAGGCAACGAUGCAUAGCCGACCUGAGAGGGUGAUCGGCCACACUGGAACUGAGACACGGUCCAGACUCCUACGGGAGGCAGCAGUAGGGAAUCUUCCGCAAUGGGCGAAAGCCUGACGGAGCAACGCCGCGUGAGUGAUGAAGGUCUUCGGAUCGUAAAACUCUGUUAUUAGGGAAGAACAUAUGUGUAAGUAACUGUGCACAUCUUGACGGUACCUAAUCAGAAAGCCACGGCUAACUACGUGCCGGCAGCCGCGGUAAUACGUAGGUGGCAAGCGUUAUCCGGAAUUAUUGGGCGUAAAGCGCGCGUAGGCGGUUUUUUAAGUCUGAUGUGAAAGCCCACGGCUCAACCGUGGAGGGUCAUUGGAAACUGGAAAACUUGAGUGCAGAAGAGGAAAGUGGAAUUCCAUGUGUAGCGGUGAAAUGCGCAGAGAUAUGGAGGAACACCAGUGGCGAAGGCGACUUUCUGGUCUGUAACUGACGCUGAUGUGCGAAAGCGUGGGGAUCAAACAGGAUUAGAUACCCUGGUAGUCCACGCCGUAAACGAUGAGUGCUAAGUGUUAGGGGGUUUCCGCCCCUUAGUGCUGCAGCUAACGCAUUAAGCACUCCGCCUGGGGAGUACGACCGCAAGGUUGAAACUCAAAGGAAUUGACGGGGACCCGCACAAGCGGUGGAGCAUGUGGUUUAAUUCGAAGCAACGCGAAGAACCUUACCAAAUCUUGACAUCCUUUGACAACUCUAGAGAUAGAGCCUUCCCCUUCGGGGGACAAAGUGACAGGUGGUGCAUGGUUGUCGUCAGCUCGUGUCGUGAGAUGUUGGGUUAAGUCCCGCAACGAGCGCAACCCUUAAGCUUAGUUGCCAUCAUUAAGUUGGGCACUCUAAGUUGACUGCCGGUGACAAACCGGAGGAAGGUGGGGAUGACGUCAAAUCAUCAUGCCCCUUAUGAUUUGGGCUACACACGUGCUACAAUGGACAAUACAAAGGGCAGCGAAACCGCGAGGUCAAGCAAAUCCCAUAAAGUUGUUCUCAGUUCGGAUUGUAGUCUGCAACUCGACUACAUGAAGCUGGAAUCGCUAGUAAUCGUAGAUCAGCAUGCUACGGUGAAUACGUUCCCGGGUCU